CAAUUAAGGGUCUUAAAAUGAGAUCUUUUGUAUUAUUUGAGUAAACCCUCAAUCCAAUGACAACUCCCCUUACAAGAGAAAGAAGACACAGACAAUGAAGAGGAGGAGGCAGCGUGACUGCAGAGUUUUGAGGGAUGCAGCCAGGGAAGUCGAGGAGUGCCGGGAGCCACCGCGAGUUGGGAGAGUGAAUAACUAAGGCUGUCGUCAACAAUGUGUGUGUUUGCCUCAUGAGGAAGAGACCAAGACUUUACCAGCAUAGACUUACGCUGCUUUCCUGAGGUCCGGAGUCCAACAGCAACAACUACCUCUUCCUAGGACUGUAAAACAUGUCUUACUUAAAGACAAUAAAUGACUGAAAACAGGAUAAUCAUUAAAGAAAUAUUAAGGCCACUUUUUAGCCUAGGCCAAC
rnacentral:lncRNA from 1 species